UGGUGUCUCCAGGGCGACUGAGAGGAGCAGAGUUUUCUGAGGCUGGAAACACCUACCAUGGCUGAGUCUCCCACAGCUGAGCAGCUGGAAUCUGUUCUGGACACCACAGGGCAGCUGAGUACAAAUUGGAGCUUAGAUCCUCCGACUGAGGCAGCUAGAAAAUCUGUCUCACUCUCCUGGAUGGAUAUCCCCUCUCUGGUCAUUGCCCUGGUUGGGCCGGUGGGGAACAGCAUCGUCCUGUGGCUGCUGGGCUUCCGCACCCGGAGGAGCCCCUUCUCAGUCUACAUCCUCAACCUGGCCGCGGCCGAUGCCCUCUUCCUUGGCAGCUACUUUGGGCUCCGCAUGUCGGAGGAGUCAGGAGGAGAAUUCUCUGGAAACAUUUCUUGAAAGGAGGCUCUCUUGAAGGUGGAGCCUGAGGUUGGCAUGAGAAGCCUUACCUAGAGAGAUCUUGGUACUGCAGCAGGGUGAAGAAUCAGGAUUUGAUAGGUCAUUGUUUAAGGAGAAUGUAUGCCAUGGUAAAUGACAGAAAUGAGAGAAUCUUCCAUGAGGCCUGGACUGACCACAGAGAUGGGCUUUUAUACUUCAUUCUUCUGAGACAUGUCAUAUCAUAAUAGAUUCCAGGCACUGACAAGGCAGCCCUCAGAAAUUGUGGCUUCCACUGAUCCCCUUCUGUGACUUCUCUCUCUCUUCAACUUCAAGACACAAUCCAAUGAAGACAGAAACCAGGCAACAUUGCCUGGUUUAAAGUAACACAAGAAAAAUAAGAACUUGUAAA